rnacentral:rRNA from 1 species
CAAGGAAUUUUGUGCAAUGGGCGAAAGCCUGACACAGCGACGCCGCGUGGGGGAAGAAGGCCUUCGGGUUGUAAACCCCUUUUCUCAGGGAAGAAUAAUGACGGUACCUGAGGAAUAAGUCUCGGCUAACUACGUGCCAGCAGCCGCGGUAAUACGUAGGAGGCAAGCGUUAUUCGGAUUUACUGGGCGUAAAGAGGGCGCAGGCGGUUUUUCAAGUUGGGUGUAAAAUCUCUUCGCUUAACGGGGAGGGAUCGCCCGAUACUGUUGAGCUAGAGGGCAGCAAAGGGAGGUGGAAUUCCCGGUGCAGUGGUGAAAUGCGUAGAUAUCGGGAGGAACACCAGUGGCGAAGGCGGCCUCCUAGGCUGUUUCUGACGCUGAGGCCCGAAAGCGUGGGGAGC